UCUGGUAAUGAUGGCAGAGAGGUCACACCCGUUCCCAUUCCGAACACGGCAGUUAAGCUCUUCAGCGCCGAUGGUAGUUGGGGGUUUCCCCCUGUGAGAGUAGGACGUUGCCAGGC
rnacentral:rRNA from 1 species